GAUGUUCUCCAGGGGUCUAAUUGCACAAACUGUGACUCAGGUGAAUAGUGUUAUAAGGACUUGUUUGUAGAUGUUUUGUUGAAUCUUUGGAAAUUCAUAUCUGGAGUUUGGUAGCUCCAAUUUUGGUGAACCAAAUUUUGUUGUGCUUCUUGAGAUGUCUAAUUUUUAUUAAAAAUAUGAAACUGACCAUGUUUUAUAGUAAAAUAAUUAGUUAUGAAUUAUGUCUUUUAAUUAUGCUUAAAAGGAAGAAAUUCAUAUCUUUUGCUGUAUAGUUUAUUUUAAGAUGAAACUUUUAUGGUAGACUAAUGAUUAUGUGUGUGUGCUGUGGUUAAGUUUUUAGAUUCAUUGGAUGACAUAUGAUUAAGUUAUUGAUUUAUCUUGUGUAGUGCUUAUUAAAUAGUUUACAAUUAAACUAAAAAGGAAUAAAUGUAAAAUAUGGUUCCUCUACCUUUAUAUGAAGUUGUUAUAACAUAUAGAUACAUAAUUUAGCUAUGUGUUUGUAUAAAAUGUUGAGUUUCUUAUUUAUCUUGCUGUUACAUGCUUCCUUGUGAUGGAAAUUUAUCUUUUUCAUAGAAAUUGCUAUACUUAUCCAAAUGGCAUGAAAUUUAUACAGUAGACUUUAGAGAACAUGUAUGAGCUUCUGUAGUUUUCUCAGAAUUUACUGUGUACUUUUGAUAUAUGGUUAUUACUUAGUCUAUUUAUCUAAAUAAAUUAAUAAAGACAUGAAAUGUAUUUAUUUAGGGAUGGCUAUGAUGUUUUCUAGUAUCUCUUUGAUGUAUUUCAACUGUUGGUGAGCUGGGUUUUGCCCAGAUUCAAGUUUGGAACAUAAAUGAAAUAUGAUUUCUCUAUAAUUUAAUUGUUAGUGGUUUCUCGAUAGUUUUUGGAACAUUAUGAAUUGCUCUAGGCAGAUAAUGUUGGAUGUGAAACUUGUCUAUAACAAAGUUGUAUAUAAUUCAUGUAUCUACCUGGUGUUAAAUUUUGGUGGCAUUUGGCUCUAUAGUUUCUGAGUUAUGCCUGUUUAAAUUUAAGUUUCAGAAAUGGUUCCUUUUUGUCAAAUCCUGGAUCAGUUUCUGUAGUUGUGCAAUUUCGACCUACUAAACUUAUGAAUCAUGCUUUCAUGAUAGAAGAUGAAUUGUAGUAAUUUUCAUAAGCUUUCCAAAAUGUUAUGGAUCAUGAAUUUUGAUGAUCUAGAACUCUGGUUAUAGAUGUAUGAAUCUUAAUGUCUGAUUCUGUCCAAGGUCUGGACAGAAUUGUUUAUUCAUACUGUUUGGCCAUGUUAUCUAUUAAAUCAGUUCUCGAAGAUAGUAACAAAGUUGUAGAAAAUUAUAUAAGCUUUCCAGAAAGUCUAAUAUCACCUUUAUUGGAUGCUUGGAUCUCUAAUUAUGGUUGAAUGAAGUUGUGUGUUUGCUGCUGUCCUGGUUAUGUGUGCUAAUAGAGUUGAUUGUUUUUUUAGCUAGCCUUUACUUAAAUAAUGAGUAGCUUAAUUUCCAAAUUAGAAUUUGAGUGCUUUUGGGAUUGUGUGAUGACCUGAGGUCAUCAAUCUUAAUGACCUUUGGCAUUUAAUUAUUGUUUGAUGUUAAUACUUAAUUACUGCCAUUAAUAUUUAAUUAAGAAUUGAUUAAAAGAAAUAGAAAACCUAAUCAUUUUAGGUUUUGUUUGAUCUUUGGGAUUGAUUGACAACCAGUGGUUGCUUAGCAUGAUAUGCUCCCUGGUUAUGGAUUAUUUCAUAUAAAUGAUCUUUGUUGUCUGAUAACUACACAACCUUACUUAAUGAAGAUGAUAAAAUUUGCUUAGUAGUAAUCUAUGUUUUGAUAGCUAAGUUAGUUGUUUCUAUACCGUGAAGGUAAGUUGUACUCGAGGUAGUUAUGUUUGUUGUUAUCAUCCAAGAACAUGUAACCUGUCUUUAUCAUGUCAUGAGCAUCUCAUUGAUCAUGCAUAUGCACUUCUACGUGUAGACUACGCUCCGGAGGAAUCUGAUCCUCAGUGGGUUGCUUCUGAGUUUGUGGAUCCAGCUGGUUUUCCUGGUUUUUCUGAGUUGUCGGACUUCCCUUCCCACCAAGGCAAGCCCCGGACAUCAAACCCUAUCCUUGUAUUUUCAUAAAGUUAUUUAUAUCACUUGAGUUAAUAUGAUGCAUUAGGUGAGUAGGAGUU
rnacentral:lncRNA from 1 species